rnacentral:rRNA from 1 species
AACGAACGCUGGCGGNAGGCCUAACACAUGCAAGUCGAACGCGAAAGUUUCCUUCGGGAAGCGAGUAGAGUGGCGCACGGGUGAGUAACACGUGGAUAACCUGCCCUAGAGUCUGGGAUAACAUUCCGAAAGGGGUGCUAAUACCGGAUAAGCCCACGACGUCCCUGGACGAUGUGGGAAAAGAUUUAUUGCUCUAGGAUGGGUCCGCGGCCCAUUAGCUAGUUGGUAGGGUAAUGGCCUACCAAGGCGACGAUGGGUUGCUGGUCUGAGGGGAUGAUCAGCCACACUGGAACUGAGACACGGUCCAGACUCCUACGGGAGGCAGCAGUGGGGAAUUUUGCGCAAUGGACGAAAGUCUGACGCAGCAACGCCGCGUGAAGGAUGAAGGCCCUUGGGUCGUAAACUUCUGUCAGAGGGGAAGAAAUACUCGCAAGAGAGCUGACGGUACCCUCAAAGGAAGCACCGGCUAACUCCGUGCCAGCAGCCGCGGUAAUACGGAGGGUGCAAGCGUUGUUCGGAAUUAUUGGGCGUAAAGCGCAUGUAGGCGGAUUUUUAAGUCUGAUGUGAAAUCCCAGGGCUCAACCCUGGAACUGCAUUGGAUACUGGGAAUCUUGAGUAUGGGAGAGGAAAGCGGAAUUCCGAGUGUAGGAGUGAAAUCCGU